rnacentral:rRNA from 1 species
GACCUCCCAACCCUUUGUUUACUGAACCUCUGUUGCUUCGGCGGGCCCGUCUUACCUGGACCGCCGGAGGAUCGUUGGAAAGCGUCCUCUGGCCAGCGCCCGCCGAUAGCCCUUCAAAAUCUCUUGACAAUCAUGGUUUUUAUGUCUAAGUAAUUUGUAACAAAAUAAAAAAACUUUCAACAACGGAUCUCUUGGUUCUGGCAUCGAUGAAGAACGCAGCGAAAUGCGAUAAGUAAUGCGAAUUGCAGAAUUCCAGUGAGUCAUCGAAUCUUUGAACGCACAUUGCGCCCUUUGGUAUUCCGAAGGGCAUGCCUGUUCGAGCGUCAUUAUCACCCCUCAAGCUCUGUGCUUGGUGUUGGAUGGCAUGGUUGGCGUGUCUUCUGACUACGUGCAACCCCUCCCAAAGACAAUGACGGCGGUCACGUGGAAUCCCCCGGUACACUGAGCUUUCUUUACUGAGCAUGUAUCGGCAGGGCCACCGGACCUCGGCCCCUCUUUCUCUUCGUUUCCGGAGGGAAGUUACAUAAGGUUGACCUCGGAUCAGGUAGGAAUACGCGCUGAACUU